UUCCGGUUGAUCCCGCCGGACCUGACUGCUAUCGGAUUGAUACUAAGCCAUGCGAGUCAUUGUAGCAAUACAAGGCAUACGGCUCAGUAACGCGUAGUCAACCUAACCUAUGGACGGGAAUAACCUCGGGAAACUGAGAAUAAUGCCCGAUAGAACAUUAUACCUGGAAUGGUUUAUGUUCCAAAUGAUUUAUCGCCGUAGGAUGGGACUGCGGCCUAUCAGUUUGUUGGUGAGGUAAUGGCCCACCAAGACUAUUACAGGUACGGGCUCUGAGAGGAGUAGCCCGGAGAUGGGUACUGAGACACGGACCCAGGCCCUAUGGGGCGCAGCAGGCGAGAAAACUUUGCAAUGUGCGAAAGCACGACAAGGUUAAUCCGAGUGGUUUCUGCUAAAGGAACCUUUUGUUAGUCCUAGAAACACUAACGAAUAAGGGGUGGGCAAGUUCUGGUGUCAGCCGCCGCGGUAAAACCAGCACCUCAAGUGGUCAGGAUGAUUAUUGGGCCCAAAGCAUCCGUAGCCGGCUCUGUAAGUUUUCGGUUAAAUCUGUACGCUUAACGUACAGGCUGCCGGGAAUACUGCAGAGCUAGGGAGUGGGAGAGGUAGACGGUACUCGGUAGGAAGGGGUAAAAUCCUUUGAUCUAUUGAUGACCACCUGUGGCGAGGGCGGUCUACCAGAACACGUCCGACGGUGAGGGAUGAAAGCUGGGGGAGCAAACCGGAUUAGAUACCCGGGUAGUCCCAGCUGUAACUAUGCAACUCAGUGAUGCAUUGACUUGUGUCAAUGCAGUGCUGCAGGAAGCCGUUAGUUUGCCGCCUGGGAAUACGUACGCAGUAUGAAUUAAGGA
rnacentral:rRNA from 1 species